UUGAACGCUGGCGGCAUGCCUUACACAUGCAAGUCGAACGGCAGCACGGGUGCUUGCACCUGGUGGCGAGUGGCGAACGGGUGAGUAAUACAUCGGAACAUGUCCUGUAGUGGGGGAUAGCCCGGCGAAAGCCGGAUUAAUACCGCAUACGAUCUACGGAUGAAAGCGGGGGACCUUCGGGCCUCGCGCUAUAGGGUUGGCCGAUGGCUGAUUAGCUAGUUGGUGGGGUAAAGGCCUACCAAGGCGACGAUCAGUAGCUGGUCUGAGAGGACGACCAGCCACACUGGGACUGAGACACGGCCCAGACUCCUACGGGAGGCAGCAGUGGGGAAUUUUGGACAAUGGGCGAAAGCCUGAUCCACCAAUGCCGCGUGUGUGAAGAAGGCCUUCGGGUUGUAAAGCACUUUUGUCCGGAAAGAAAUCCUUGGCCCUAAUACGGUCGGGGGAUGACGGUACCGGAAGAAUAAGCACCGGCUAACUACGUG
rnacentral:rRNA from 1 species